CUCCAAGUCAGUUAUUAUUUUUUGGUAAUCUUCCUUACGCAUUGUUUUCAGCUUAGCAAUAGUCAUCGCUCUGAUUUUCUCAAUGUCAAUCAUGCAAUAAUGCCAAGAUACCAGGCUCUUCAUGUUGAUAUACAGCUGGUUCCACAAAGCCAGAAUAGCUUCGUAGUAUUGCUCAAUUUUGGUAGCAAGAUCCACUGCUAAUGGAUUUGGGGGUGGGAUGAUCAGACUAACAGAUGGCACCAGCAUAUCCACUCCUCCAGGGCCAGUCACCAACCACUUGCUGCGCUCAUUGUUGUCCUUCAGGAUGCAUUCAUCUCCUUUGCGCACUGUUUUCAGAUCCUGUUUGUAGUCACAUAGAGCCUUGAGGAUAAUGGGCUUGUUACUCCGGUAAUCUGGGUUACGUGGCUUCAGCUGCACAAUCUUCUUGGAUUUAUUCACCAAACUCUGCACUUGCCUCUUGUAUUCAAGAAUUCUC
rnacentral:lncRNA from 1 species